CCAGUGGCUGCCCUAAAGCCGGCUCUCCAGGGCCGCGGAGCCUUCGCUCCCUUCCUGAAUGCCUUUUUUGUUGGGAAACAGUGGACUGUUUCUGAAGGCCUGCAUAAAUGACUGAGUAAUUCACUGCAGUUGCCAGGAAGUCGGAGCCACUUGUGAGCUAACAAUAGUGAACUUUAUCUCCCGCCCCAUGCUGGAAGUUCCAGCUGUAGGUCCCGAAUUCUAAUAAGGGCUUUGCUCAUGCCUCUGAGGUUAUGGUAAUAUUUUAUCCAUCUUUCUUCAUGAAGACACAGUCGCUGCUGCUAUUGACAACCGGAGGCCAGCACUGAGGAGUGACGUGGGCAGGGGGCCAGGGGAGACUCUAAACUGACGUAGAGGAGAGAAGAGAAAGAUUUCACUCUGACCCAUAAGUGGCUGGAGCGGAAAGAUGGCUUCGGACAUUUCCCGUGUUUCAGACGCUGCUCCUCCUCCUCCUCCUCCUCCUCAGCAGACGAACCGGCAGCCGAGGCUGAUCACGUGCUCAGAAUUAGUGUGAGGCUAUGAGGUUCCUCUUUGCUCCCCCGUUUGUGGGCAAAGCCGAUGUGUAUUAUUAAGUGAUUCUGUAUCCAGGUAUCAGAGACCCCAAUACCUUCUUUACAUGAUCGUUCUUAGCUAAGGGAAAACUAAGAAUUUGCUCACUUCCUGCCUUGUGGGUUCUAAGGACACACCCCAACAAGUUCCUGUGAAGGGGGGCUGGGUCACUGACCCCCUGAGCAACCCCGGAAGGACAAUUUCUAGGGCCUGGUUACAGAGAUGACAGGUGGCUUAAGAAGUCACUGUGUGCCACGUGCUUUCAUGAUUAUUGUUUCAGUUAAUCUGCACGACAACCCUGAGAGAUAGUCAUAUUUUUCCAUUUUGGAUGUACCCGGCUAGUGUUCAUGGUGCCCUGUUGCCUCUGCAGCAGAGCGCCGCAUCCUCAGUUACUCAAGUCCCCGUUCAGGUUUCUCAUGACCGUGGCUUCUUGUUGAGGGAGAAGUAGAAAAAAAUGAGUAAAAAGGGAUUGGGGAAUCUCGUGGGUGUGGGGGAGGAUGGCGCGGGCCUGAUUCUCAUCUGCCUGCACAGCCUUCCCACGAAAAUAAACCAGUGAAACCACCUGUGAGCCACACGUGCAGUUCACAAGAUGACAGAGGACACCACAAUCUGCAAGAUUACUUCAACACAGAGAAGGAGACCAAAUUUCAGCUAAGCCCCUGUCACCACCACUGGGAGCUUCUGGGCAAGGGGUCCGCAAGGUUUAUGUGACUUUGUGGAAAAAAAAACAAACAAAAACACAGGAUGAGGGUGCCUUAGAUGAGGCAAAGACCAUCUGGCCUCAAAAAGAAAAAUCCAUUCCUGGAUGCUGAAGGACUGGUGAUGGAUGGCUCAGGCCUUGGUAGUUCAGAGCAACAGCCACCUGGAAGGGACUUUGAACAUGAGUCAGGCAGGAAGAGGCAGCCCCAGAGGUGGGCUUCUCCUGGAGAAGAUGCACAAAGAAGGAAUGGAAACCACCAGGGACAUGUCACGAAGGAGAAGGGAGGAACCGAGGGGGACCUACAGAGAUGAGAGAUGACAGCAUAGCAGACCCAGCAAACCAUCUCUUUCCCUCCAUCAUCACUACCACCAUCCACCAAGGAAACCAAACCAAAGAAGACAGAUGUACCAAAAAGUGCACUCUCAUGUUAGAAAUCACACCCAUGAAAUGAACAGGAAGAGAAAAUGUGGACCACAUUCACAGGAAACUGUAAUAAGAAAAUAGAAAAUGUGAACCAACAGAUAGAAGCUGUGAAAAAAAAAUCAAGCAUGAAACAGAAGAAAAUUGUCACAGAAGUAUCAAAACUGAAUUAAAUAGACACAAAAAAGAAUUUGAAGAUAAGGAAAUACUUUAGAUCGAAAAUUUAAAAAUAAAAAUAGAGGCAGGAAACAGAACAAAAAAAUAAAACAAGAGUUAAGGAAAUGCAAGGACAGAAAAGAGAGUAAAAUGUUAGAAUCUUAAAGGAAAUGAAGGCUAAAUUACCAAAGAUGACCAAAGAAGAAUAGACUCAAAUAAAAGCUUAAUAAGGGUCAUGGAAAAAUUAAGAAACACAAUCAAGAGGAUAACAUAAAGAUAUAAAGAAGAUGGAUAAAAAGAGUGAAAGAGAAAAUGGUUGAAAUGUUGGAGAAGAAAGAUGCAACAUUUGUGCUGGUUACUUUUAUGUUUCAACUUGGUGAGGCUGUAGAAACCAGUCACUUAAACACUAACCCAGGUUUUGCUGUGAAGGUGUUUUGUAGAUGUAGGUUAACAUCUAUAAUCAAUUGACUUUAAAGUAAAGAAAGUAACUCUGGAUAAGGUGGUGAGCCUCACCUAAUCAGUUGAGGAAGUAAGAGAAAAACCUGAGGUUUCCCAGAAAAGAAUAAAUUGUGCCUCAAGUUUGCAGCAUCAACUCUUGGUGAGUUCCCGGCAGUUGGUCUGCUUUGCACAUUUUUCUCAUGCCAGCGUCACAAUCGUGCAAUCUACUUCCUUCAAACAAAUUUUCAUGUAUCCUAUUGUUUAUCUUUUCUCUGGAGAACCCUAAUACAAUAUGUGUAUGAGUGUGCAUGUGUGUGUGUGUGUGUAUGAUUGAAAUCUCUGAAGAAAAAAAAAACAACGUGGUAGAGCUAAUAUUUAAAAUUAUAAUUCAAGAAAUAAAAAAAUAAAACACUGUAUUAAAAAAUCUGAGUUACAUUUAAAGCAGCAAUAAUAGAAAAUUUAUGCCCUAGCAUCCAUGUCAAUAAAAAUAAAAGAAUGAGAAAAAAGACUUGCAAUCCUAAGUAAAA
rnacentral:lncRNA from 10 species